ACCAAGGCUCCGCCUCCGGCAGCUGUGGCGGCACUGGGCUUUAACUUUCUCCUUCAGCCCGAUAGGGACCUAGCGGGGAAAGCGGGCGUGACGUAGAGCAAGUGGCGGCCAGCCCGCGUCUGGCGAAUUGACGAGCCGCACGAGCAGCCGUGCGUCGAGAAAUUGCCUAUGGUCCCAGAGUCAGAAAGAUUUUCAUCUAUGAUGAUGGCGGACUUUACAGGAGCACAUACGGUAGGUAAUAUCAGGUCUUAUUAGAAUAAACUCUAUUAAAUGGUGAAUCUCAUACAGAGUAUUAUUUAUAUGACUUAUACUUCAGUGAUGUUUAUAAUGUGCCAAGUUCUGUGCAAAUACUAACUAAGCCUACAGGUAAAACAUCUUAAAAUCAUACAAUCACUAAGGUUGGGAAAGGUGUCCAAAAUCAUCCAGUCCAACCAUUCAUCUACCACAAAUAUUCAUCGCUAAACUUUGUCUCUUAGUACAUGUGUUUCUUG
rnacentral:lncRNA from 1 species